rnacentral:tRNA from 1 species
GGGCGUGUGGUCUAGUGGUAUGAUUCUCGCUUUGGGAGGUUUCUUCAGUUUGUUCUGAGUUACGUUUUAAAUAUGCGAGAGGCCCUGGGUUCAAUUCCCAGCUCGCCCC